UACGGAGGGGGCUAGCGUUGUUCGGAAUUACUGGGCGUAAAGGGCGCGCAGGCGGCUGCUCAAGUCAGGCGUGAAAGGCCUGGGCUCAACCCGGGAAUUGCGCUUGAGACUGGGCUGGCUUGAGUGCGGGAGAGGAUGGUGGAAUUCCGGGUGUAGCGGUGAAAUGCGCAGAUAUCAGGAGGAACACCGGUGGCGAAGGCGGGUCUCUGGGCCGAUACUGACGCUGAGGAGCGAAAGCGUGGGGAGCGAACAGG
rnacentral:rRNA from 1 species